UACGUAGGGUGCAAGCGUUGUCCGGAAUCAUUGGGCGUAAAGAGCGUGUAGGCGGCUCGAUUAGUCCGCUGUAAAAGUCCAGGGCUCAACCCUGGGAUGCCGGUGGAAACUGUCGGGCUAGAGUCCGGGAGAGGCGAGUGGAAUUCCUGGUGUAGCGGUGAAAUGCGCAGAUAUCAGGAGGAACACCAAUGGCGAAGGCAGCUCGCUGGAACGGUACUGACGCUGAGACGCGAAAGCGUAGGGAGCAAACAGG
rnacentral:rRNA from 1 species